rnacentral:rRNA from 1 species
UACGAAGGGGGCUAGCGUUGUUCGGAAUUACUGGGCGUAAAGCGUAUGCAGGCGGAUCGUUAAGUCGGGGGUGAAAUCCCGAGGCUCAACCUCGGAACUGCCUUCGAUACUGGCGACCUUCGAGUCCGGAAGAGGUGAGUGGAACUCCGAGUGUAGAGGUGAAAUUCGUAGAUAUUCGGAAGAACACCAGUGGCGAAGGCGGCUCACUGGCCCGGUACUGACGCUGAGAUACGAAAGCGUGGGGAGCAAACAGG